UAGGUCUCGCGGCGCAAGAACCGGGACUGACAGCCGGCAACGCAAGCUGAGCGCGAGCAAAAAAAGCUCCUUGCUAAACCCCCGUCUCGCUCUCUGGCCCCCUCCCCGCUCGUCGCCCGCUCUCCUCUGAUUGGUCAGCCGGACAAAAGUUUCUGUGGAGACGGCUGAGCGGCAACGUGACGGACAGAAUUGUCCCAUUUAGGGAUGCUGGGCAAUGCGCAUGCUGCAGGCGGGCGGCUGCAGGUUAGAGAGCGCCGCGAAGGCGAGGCUAGUCUGAGCUGCGGACGGCAAGGUGGCGCUGGGGAGGAAGAAGGAGGAGGACGAGGCAUCUCCACAUCCUCUCCGCCACAGCCAGUUAGGGUUAGGGUGAAACUCCUGGUGAUCACAGAGGCAAGUCCAUGCAGUUUUGUAGACAACAUUUUCAGAAGUGGCUUGCCAUUGGCUGAGACAGAGUGACAGGCCCAAAAUCAUCUAGCUGGCUAUUGUGCCUAAGGAUCUGCAUUUGGAAGAGAGAUAACCUAAGAAUUUCAGGACUAUAAACUUCUCAUCAGACAAACAGCACUACACCACUUCCAUGAUAUGGCAAUAUAUCUAUUCUCCAUUCAAAAGUUACCAGGAACUGAACUCAGUUUAAAACCACUCUGCCUUUUUAUAUCUUGGACAUUAAAUAUUAGUAAACA